AUCAACUCUAAGUACUCAGAGGGUUUUUACUGAAUGUCAUCUGAGUGAAGGAAAGAUGACACCCUGGGAACUUCACUCAACACUGGUGAUGUGAUACUUCUGGAGGGACAAGAAGGAGGCUAAGAGCUUCACUAAAUUCAAAACAACUACUGUGAAUCACCACAACUCCCUGCUCCUGGGGCUUCAUACUGGGAUCAGUAAACAGGAUAGGGUUUAUUAAUUACCCUGGAAAAGCAGCAGGAGAAGAAAUCCAGAUGGACUAGCCAGCCUUCACUACAUCCAAGGUCAAAUCAUCUUUGAAGAAUGGAAGGCAUUUGCAGUGUGUGCAGUAAUAUAACUUAAAGAACAGGAGAGGAAA